GGAAGGUUGGCAGAGCGGUCGAAUGCGCCGCAUUCGAAAUGCGGUAUACCGGAAACGGUAUCGGAGGUUCGAAUCCUCCACCUUCCG
rnacentral:tRNA from 1 species